GAUGAAGAACGUAGCGAAAUGCGAUACGUAAUGUGAAUUGCAAAUUCAGUGAAUCAUCGAGUCUUUGAACGCACAUUGCGCCCCCUGGUAUUCCGGGGGGCAUGCCUGUCCGAGCGUCAUUGCUGCCCUCAAGCACGGCUUGUGUGUUGGGCCCCGUCCUCCGAUCCCGGGGGACGGGCCCGAAAGGCAGCGGCGGCACCGCGUCCGGUCCUCGAGCGUAUGGGGCUUCGUCACCCGCUCUGUAGGCCCGGCCGGCGCUUGCCGAUCAACCCAAAUUUUUUAUCCAGGUUGACCUCGGAUCAGGUAGGGAUACCCGCUGAACUUAAGCAUAUCAAUAAGCGGAGGA
rnacentral:misc_RNA from 1 species